GAUGAAGAACGCAGCGAAACGCGAUAAGUAAUGUGAAUUGCAGAAUCCAGUGAAUCAUCGAAUCUUUGAACGCACAUUGCGCCCGCCAGCAUUCUGGCGGGCAUGCCUGUUCGAACGUCAUUUCAACCCUCGACCUCCCCUUGGGGAGGUCGGCGUUGGGGACCGGCAGCACACCGCCGGCCCUGAAAUGGAGUGGCGGCCCGUCCGCGGCGACCUCUGCGCAGUAAUACAGCUCGCACCGGGACCCCGACGCGGCCACGCCGUAAAACACCCAACUUCUGAACGUUGACCUCGAAUCAGGUAGGACUACCCGCUGAACUUAAGCAUAUCAAUAAGCGGAGGA
rnacentral:misc_RNA from 1 species